rnacentral:rRNA from 1 species
UACAGAGGGGGCAAGCGUUGUUCGGAAUUACUGGGCGUAAAGGGCGCGUAGGCGGCCUGCUAAGUCGAACGUGAAAUCCCCGGGCUCAACCCGGGAACUGCGUCCGAUACUGGCAGGCUUGAAUCCGGGAGAGGGAUGCGGAAUUCCAGGUGUAGCGGUGAAAUGCGUAGAUAUCUGGAGGAACACCGGUGGCGAAGGCGGCAUCCUGGACCGGCAUUGACGCUGAGGCGCGAAAGCCAGGGGAGCAAACGGGG